GCGGCAGACGGGUGAGUAACACGUGGAUAACCUACCUAUAAGACUGGGAUAACUUCGGGAAACCGGAGCUAAUACCGGAUAAUAUAUUGAACCGCAUGGUUCAAUAGUGAAAGACGGUUUUGCUGUCACUUAUAGAUGGAUCCGCGCCGCAUUAGCUAGUUGGUAAGGUAACGGCUUACCAAGGCAACGAUGCGUAGCCGACCUGAGAGGGUGAUCGGCCACACUGGAACUGAGACACGGUCCAGACUCC
rnacentral:rRNA from 1 species